UAAGAACCGAGUUGUGCUUGUCUUAUUACUUUCAGAUUAAGAACUGAGUUUCCAUUGCAUAUAUACACGCCGGAUUAAGAACCGAGUUGUGUUGCCUUUACAUGAUGUUAAUAAUAUAUUCUGUUCACAGGGUUUCCUGAUAAGCACAUUGUACCUGAAUCUUGUGGUAUCCAUGGUAGUGUAAUUAAUGUGAUAUCCACAAAUGAAGUGAUUUCCGUCACUUAAAGUGUGAGUCAUAAUUAUAAUGAUUACUUUAAUGUCUGCUAUACAUUUAGCACUUUGAUUAUUGUUUCUUAAGUAGUUCUGUUUAUGCAAUGCAGGCCUAAGGAGGCGGACCAUGUGCAUAAGACCUAUUAUUGUGAUGCAGGUCUUUGGAGACGGACCAUCAUGUGUUCUGUAGACUAUCCCUAAGAGGCUAGUUCUGUUUCUGGUAUUUGUGAUGCAGGUCUUUGGAGACGGACCAUCAUGUGUUAUAUAGUAUAUCUUUAAGAGGUUAGCUUGAGACCUUGUUUGUCAAAAGCAUGUUUAUUGACCUUAAAGAGUAGUGAUCUCAAGGUUACCUUGAAAGGGUUGCUUGCACUAAUACUUUCCAGAGGUUGCUGGUGGAAUUACGGUUUCCAAUAGAGUGCAUGCUACAGGCUGCGCGACAACCUUGUCAUGAAGGGCCAACGUCUGCGGUCGUUGCGCCGCCAGCCUCGAAAGCAGCCGUAUCACCGUGGCUUGCGUAUGAAGCUUUGAUAUGAGCUUUUUAAUAAGAGCUUUCUUGCUGCUUGCUGUGUUAGAAGGCGGCUAUGCUCACGCAUGGAGUGUGUCAUGUUCACCUCUCACGAGUUUGAUGUACGCGUUGUUGUGCGUGCGGGGAGCUUCACAGCCUACAGUGACGGAGCCAACUGUGAGUUUGUUCCAUGUAUUUGCUAUUUAAACGACGCCAAUCAUCAUUAUUAUAUUGAGCGGUUGGUUAGUUUGGAAUGCACCGCUCAC